GAACGCGAAGAACCUUACCCGGGCUUGAAUUGCAGAGGAAGGAUUUAGAGAUAAUGACGCCCUUCGGGGCCUCUGUGAAGGUGCUGCAUGGUUGUCGUCAGCUCGUGCCGUGAGGUGUCGGCUUAAGUGCCAUAACGAGCGCAACCCCUCUCUUCAGUUGCCAUCAGGUUAAGCUGGGCACUCUGGAGACACUGCCACCGUAAGGUGUGAGGAAGGUGGGGAUGACGUCAAAUCAGCACGGCCCUUACGUCCGGGGCUACACACGUGUUACAAUGGCCGGUACAGAGGGACGGUGUAAUGCAAAUUGCAUCCAAUCUUGAAAGCCGGUCCCAGUUCGGACUGGGGUCUGCAACCCGACCCCACGAAGCUGGAUUCGCUAGUAAUCGCGCAUCAGCCAUGGCGCGGUGAAUACGUUCCCGGGUCUUGUACACACC
rnacentral:rRNA from 1 species